rnacentral:rRNA from 1 species
GUGCCAGCCGCCGCGGUAAUACGUAGGAUCCGAGCGUUGUCCGGAAUUACUGGGUGUAAAGGGCGUGUAGGUGGGUCUUUAAGUCGGGGGUGAAAUCCUGCAGCUUAACUGCAGAACUGCUUCCGAUACUGAAGAUCUUGAGUACGGCAGAGGGAGAUGGAAUUCAUGGUGUAGCGGUGAAAUGUGUAGAUAUCAUGAAGAACACCGGUAGCGAAGGCGGUCUCCUGGUCCGUAACUGACACUGAGGCGCGAAAGCGUGGGGAGCAAACAGGAUUAGAAACCCCCGUAGUCC